rnacentral:rRNA from 1 species
AUAUUGCGCAAUGGGCGAAAGCCUGACGCAGCGACGCCGCGUGGGUGAGGAAGGCCUUCGGGUUGUAAAGCCCUUUUGCUGGGGACGAGGAUGGACGGUACCAGCGGAAUAAGCACCGGCUAACUCUGUGCCAGCAGCCGCGGUAAUACAGAGGGUGCUAGCGUUAAUCGGAUUUACUGGGCGUAAAGCGUGUGUAGGCGGUUCGUUAAGUCGGAUGUGAAAGCCCUGGGCUCAACCUAGGAAUUGCAUUCGAUACUGGCGAGCUAGAGUACGGUAGAGGGCGGCGGAAUUCCGGGUGUAGCGGUGAAAUGCGUAGAUAUCCGGAGGAACACCGAUGGCGAAGGCAACCGCCUGGGCCUGUACUGACGCUGAGACACGAAAGCGUGGGGAGCAAACAGG